GAAAGCCAGGCACACCGAGAUAUGCAGAGAAUUGUUUUACUUCCUAUAAAACAAAAUAAAUUGGUCUCUUCAGUGCUGGGUUGUUGUUGUUUUUUUUCUAGUUAGCUCUUAAAGAGGUCUUAUAACAACAGAGCCUCCGAUCUCACAGUGAUUGCCUGGCUCUCCUUUCCUUUCCACUGCAAGUCCUAGAUCUCCUCCUGCCCCAACCACACAUAUCCUCUCUGCUCCCUGCUUUCCACUCAGCCCCCCCAAGUCCCUGCGUGCUGUUCACCCCUUCCCAAGGACACUGCUGUGCCUCCCUCCAGCAAGGUCCCAGCUUUCCCACCUUACUCUUCCCCCAGAUAGUGCACCCAGCCUUCCAGUACAGCAUACAGCUUUCUCUGCUGCACAUUGGACUAGACAGUAACUAAAGCCUUCCAGCCUUAAAGCCUGUGGCUGAAUACAGUGGUAUCCAUAGAGAGAAGAAAAUGAACCCUGGAAUUUCAGAGAAUUUCCCUGCGCUGGUCUUAUAGGGCUGAUCUACUACCCUUAACAAAUAACUAGAGAAGUAAAAGAAUGUUAUGUUCUUCAGCCUGGCCCAAGCACAUGUGGAAUGUCACCAGUCUGAAGUUGGAAGUGACUGGACUACAUUGCAAGACCUUUGGAGAAUUUGAUAUUGACAUAUAUUUUAUGAUAGCAUCAAGAUUCCCAAUCACAUGUGCUCACUGCAAAAGCCUUUUUCGUUCACAUAA